rnacentral:rRNA from 1 species
CAAUAGCGUAUAUUGAAGUUGUUGCGGUUAAAAAGCUCGUCGUUGGAUUUCUGUUGAGGUCGAACCGUGCCGCCCUAUGGGUGCGCAACUGGCUCGGCUUCGGCAUCUUCUUGGAGAGCGCAUCUGCACUUAACUGUGUGGAUCGUACUUCAAGUCAGUUACUUUGAGGAAUUGUGAGUGUUUCAAGCAGGCUUACGCCGUUGAAUCCGUUAGCAUGGAAUAAUAGGAUAGGACCUCGGUUCUAUUUUGUUGGUUUUGAGAGCUGGGGCAGCGAUUGAUAGGGACGGAUGGGGGCGUCCGAACUUUACUGUCAGAGGUGAAAUUCUUAGAUCGGUCAAAGGCGAACUACUGCGAACGCAUUCGCCAAGAAUGUUUUCUUUAA